rnacentral:rRNA from 1 species
UUCCCAGACUCCUACGGGAGGCAGCAGUGAGGAAUAUUGGUCAAUGGGCGGGAGCCUGAACCAGCCAUGCCGCGUGCAGGAAGACGGCUCUAUGAGUUGUAAACUGCUUUUGUACGAGGGUAAAUGCAGGUACGUGUAUCUGUUUGAAAGCAUCGUACGAAUAAGGAUCGGCUAACUCCGUGCCAGCAGCCGCGGUAAUACGGAGGAUCCAAGCGUUAUCCGGAUUUAUUGGGUUUAAAGGGUGCGUAGGCGGUUUUAUAAGUUAGAGGUGAAAUCUCGGGGCUCAACUCCGGCACUGCCUCUGAUACUGUCGGGCUAGAGUUUAGUUGCGGUAGGCGGAAUGUAUGGUGUAGCGGUGAAAUGCAUAGAGAUCAUACAGAACACCGAUUGCGAAGGCAGCUUACCAAACUACGACUGACGUUGAGGCACGAAAGCGUGGGGAGCAAACAGGAUUAGAUACCCGUGUAGU